rnacentral:ribozyme from 1 species
GAAAAGAAAAAGAAAUGAAAAGGAUGAAGGAAGGAAGUGAAUGAAACGAAGCGUGUUUGUUUCAUUUCUGUUCACUUCUGUUCGUUCUCUUUUUACACGGCUUUGUCUUUGUUCUUUUGCUCAU